GACGAACGCUGGCGGCGUGCCUAAUACAUGCAAGUUGAGCGCUGAAGGUUGGUCCUUGUACCAACUGGAUGAGCAGCGAACGGGUGAGUAACGCGUGGGGAAUCUGCCUUUGAGCGGGGGACAACAUUUGGAAACGAAUGCUAAUACCGCAUAAAAACUUUAAACACAAGUUUUAAGUUUGAAAGAUGCAAUUGCAUCACUCAAAGAUGAUCCCGCGUUGUAUUAGCUAGUUGGUGAGGUAAAGGCUCACCAAGGCGAUGAUACAUAGCCGACCUGAGAGGGUGAUCGGCCACAUUGGGACUGAGACACGGCCCAAACUCCUACGGGAGGCAGCAGUAGGGAAUCUUCGGCAAUGGACGAAAGUCUGACCGAGCAACGCCGCGUGAGUGAAGAAGGGUGUCGGAUCGUAAAACUCUGUUGGUAGAGAAGAACGUUGGUGAGAGUGGAAAGCUCAUCAAGUGACGGUAACUACCCAGAAAGGGACGGCUAACUACGUG
rnacentral:rRNA from 1 species